rnacentral:rRNA from 1 species
UACAGAGGGUGCAAGCGUUGUUCGGAUUUAUUGGGCGUAAAGAGCGUGUAGGCGGCCAGGUAGGUCUGCUGUGAAAACUCGAGGCUCAACCUCGAGACGUCGGCGGAAACCAUCUGGCUAGAGUCCGGAAGAGGAGAGUGGAAUUCCUGGUGUAGCGGUGAAAUGCGCAGAUAUCAGGAAGAACACCCGUGGCGAAGGCGGCUCUCUGGGACGGUACUGACGCUGAGACGCGAAAGCGUGGGGAGCGAACAGG